UACGUAGGGGGCGAGCGUUGUCCGGAUUUAUUGGGCGUAAAGCGCAUGCAGGCGGUCCUGUAAGUUUGAAGUGACAGUUUCCGGCUCAACCGGGAAAGUGCUUUGAAAACUGCGGGACUUGAGGGCUUCAGAGGGACACGGAAUUCCGGGUGGAGUGGUGAAAUGCGUAGAUAUCCGGAGGAACACCGAAGGCGAAGGCAGUGUCCUGGGGAGCACCUGACGCUCAGAUGCGAAAGCCAGGGGAGCGAACGGG
rnacentral:rRNA from 1 species